AUCUUCGGGGCAGGGUGCGAUUCCCGACCGGCGGUAUGCGUCUGUUCGAUAACAAAUCGGCAAGAUGCAAGCCCGCGAGCUUUCAGGAGCAUGAUCCGGUGAGAAUCCGGAGCCGACGGUACAGUCCGGAUGGAAGAAGAUG
rnacentral:ncRNA from 1 species